rnacentral:rRNA from 1 species
UCGGGAAUUUUGGGCAAUGGGCGAAAGCCUGACCCAGCAACGCCGCGUGAGGGAUGAAGUAUUUCGGUAUGUAAACCUCGAAAGAAUGGGAAGAAUAAAUGACGGUACCAUUUAUAAGCUCCGGCUAACUACGUGCCAGCAGCCGCGGUAAUACGUAGGGAGCAAGCGUUGUUCGGAUUACUGGGCGUACAGGGCGCGUAGGCGGCGCGGUAAGUCACUUGUGAAAUCUCUGAGCUUAACUCAGAACGGCCAAGUGAUACUGCUGAGCUAGAGUACGGAAGAGGCAACCGGAAUUCUUGGUGUAGCGGUGAAAUGCGUAGAUAUCAAGAGGAACACCUGAGGCGAAGGCGGGUUGCUGGGCCGACACUGACGCUGAUGCGCGAAAGCCAGGGGAGCAAACG